rnacentral:misc_RNA from 1 species
GUCUUUUCUAUCCUCGUGGCACCUUGUCCUGAUUUUCUUCCACCGGAGGAUUCCUCCAGGUAGCCUCUACCUUGCUCUCUCCAUCUUACUCAUCUAGAUUCAUCUGAAGAUUUUCGGCAGUUUUGUGGUUUUCUGAGUUUUUUUUCACAAUAUGCAGAUCUGUACUUGCUAUUUUGUUCUAGUUACUCUUUUUCCCUAGCAAUUUUAGUCAAAUGUUCUAAUCGAAAAGAGUAAAAGCUAUGAUCUCUUAUUUUAGAUCAGAUCUGGUUACUCUUAGCUGUUUGUUUUCGAUUUUGGUUGAUUUUGAGCUUUUUCAUGGUUAUGCUGUUUGUGAUCUUAUUCCUAACGAUUCCUGUGGCAUUGUUUUUCAUGUUUGUUUCUCUCUCUCUGGCCUUGUGUAUGUAUAUACAGAUGAUUCUUUUUUUUUUUUAAUUUAAUUUGUUCAAAUAGAGGAGAAAAAAUGGUCGGGUUUUGAAAAUUCUCUCAUGUUUUAGUAGCCUGAUUUUUUUUUUGAAUUGGUGUAGUUUUGACUGGCUUUGUGCUGGUGAUAUAGAAAAGAUUUGUUCUUUUGCUUUUUUUUUUAAAAAAAAUUAUUUUAAGGUUUGGGGCUUAGAUCUGUGGUCGAAUUUGUCAAAUUUAUCUUUGGUUGCUAGGAAAGUGGACGAAAAUGUGAGAGAAUAAAGAAAUCAAAACGAAUUUCAAAGUCUUUUUCAUGUUUAUAUUGUUGAUAACAAAAAUCUGAGAUAUCAAUUCAACACAAUUAAGCCUCGUGGUUGGCUAUGAUAAUACAAACUUUUUUUUUAUUGCCUCAUUAUUAUUAUUAUUAUUAU